rnacentral:rRNA from 1 species
CCUACGGGAGGCUGCAGUGGGGAAUAUUGCACAAUGGGGGAAACCCUGAUGCAGCAACGCCGCGUGAGUGAAGAAGUAUUUCGGUAUGUAAAGCUCUAUCAGCAGGGAAGAAGAAAGACGGUACCUGACCAAGAAGCCCCGGCUAACUACGUGCCAGCAGCCGCGGUAAUACGUAGGGGGCAAGCGUUAUCCGGAUUUACUGGGUGGAAAGGGGGCGCAGACGGCAAUGCAAGCCAGGAGUGAAAGCCCGGGGCCCAACCCCGGGAGUGCAUUUGAAACUGUCUGGCGAGAGUGCAGGAGAGGUAAGUGGAAUUCCUAGUGUAGCUGUGAAAUGCAUAGAUAUUAGGAGGAACACCAGUGGCGAAGGCGGCUUACUGGACUGUAACUGACACUGAGGCUCGAAAGCGUGGGGAGCAAACAGGAUUAGAUACCCCUGUAGUC